UCAAGUGAAAUUUUUAUUUAUUUUUUUAUCUGAUUAAAUAAAAUUAAAGUCAAUAGAAAUCUGCAAAGUAGAAUCAGUGUUAGUGCAUUAUUCUUCAUUACCCUGGGGCAGAAUGCACAUCAUAGAAAGGAUCAACAAUAUCUCCGCUCAAAUGAAAGAAGGAUCCUUCAUCAUUAUCCUGGAGCAAAAUGCUCAUCGUGCAAAGGAUCAACAAAGACUCCAAUCAUCAUUGCAAUUGUGCGCGUGGCAAUGGAUGAAGUGUUGUAUCGUUUAGAUAAAAUCAAAAUCGCGAAUUAGAAGCAUUGUUUGUUCGUUAUAAUUCAUCCAAUCUCGCGAUUUUAAAAACUGUCUAAGUGUUAAAGUUUGUUCGUCUAAAGUUGUAAUUUUAUUUUAAAACAGUCGCACAGAUUGUUCGGGCAUUAAAAUCAGUGCAUCAUCGAAGAUAAAUGAUAAAUGACACUUCUUCAAAAGAAAAAUAUUGAUCAUAGUUAUAAUCCUGUCUUAUCAAUCUACAAGAAGGUUGACCUACUAUGGAUCAACCUGGCUCGUUUUCAACUUCAUGUGGAUCAACUUCCCUCAAUUUCCAGCUACAAGGUGAACGAGUGUUUUGGAGCCAUCAUAGAACUUCUUAAGUAGUGAGUGAACAAAUUUAAGGUCCCUCCAAUGCUCAAUCAUGUCGAGGAUGAAAGGUCCGAAUCGGCACGAGUUAUUGGUUGUAAUUUUUUGUAAUAUAUUAUUGACGAGUAUGACCGUGAGUAAUUCCUCUUUUGGAUUUACUCGCGAGUGGUUCAUUUUUAAUUAUGUGUAUGUUUCAUUAUUAUUUCUCUAUUGUGCAUGUUUAUUUUUAUUAGCACAGGAUAGGGUUUUCUUGUUUCAUCGCGAGUCGUUUUUUAAUUAACAGUGCAAUUAAUUAGCACUUGUUUCGUUCGACAUUGCACGCGAUAUUAGUUGUGAAAUCAGGCAUUCAUUUAUCCAAUUUUGUCGAAAAAGCAUGUGAUGUGGUUUACGUUACAUGCAUUGCUUCAUAUUUAGUCCAUUCAAUCGCGAUUUACUACGAUGUAUUUAGAUCGAAUCAAAUGAACAAGAAAACAAACGCGACGGAUAGAUUCUUGGAAACAAGUGAUAGAGUCAUGAUUUUGUUCUAUGAUUAGAAUAGCCACUUGUUGAAAGGAGUCGUCCGAGGAUUUUUAAUUAUUAUUGUAUAAAAUAUUAAUCAAAUAUUCAAUGAAUUUUUUUUUAUAAAAGAAAAGUCUCAGUAGAGUCAUCAUUAUUUUGAAAAGAAAAAAGUCGAGUAGAGUCAUUGCUAAAAAAAAUAAAGAGACUUGUAGAGUCAUAGCCCGUAAAAAGUAAAUGAUAAAUUAAUCAAUU